rnacentral:tRNA from 1 species
GCGAGAUUAACUCAGAGGUAGAGUGCUUCCUUGACGUGGAAGAAGCCAGAGGUUCGAAUCCUCUAUCUCGCACCA